CUCUGUUACUAAUGGGCAAAGUUCAUGAUAGAUAUAAUUGUAAGAAGCAAAAUCGUUCAGUAAAGUAAGAACUUCAAACACAUCACCAUCACCAAAAUACAAUUUUGUCAUGAAUCCAUUUGUGUCCUUUGUUUAAUAUGCACAUAGACCAAGGUGAGCGACACAGGCUCUUUAGAGCCUCUAGUUCUUUAAAGUGACAUCUUGAGGGUAAGACAACUCAGGCAAAAAAAGGUUUAAGUGAAAAGAGGACAUUGUGGAAAAUUGAUUUUGAAAAAAGAAAAUUUGGCCGUAGAACAGAUUAAGAUUUCUUUUUGAUUUUAUAUUUCUUUAAGAUUACUUAAAAUUUCCAAAUUGAGAUUAACAUAGAAAAAGUAUUUUCCCAAUCCUUGUUUUAGAAUAAUUACCGAAUAUUUUGAAUAUUUGUUUGUAAAAUGUAUUUCAAUAUUUGGGUUGUAAAGAGUAUGUUCCUAUUCAAAUUAAAUGCCUGGUAAAUUUAAUGUGGUUUGUUAAGUUUCUUUACUUAUCUCAAUAUUUUCGUGACUUAGUAUUUUUUCUUAUUUCUUUCAAAUGUCAUUUAUUUUAAAGAAAUACUUCUCUUUCUUUAAUAAAACACAAAAAUUCUUACUUGUGUUGUAAUCUUUUGCCCUUAUUCCAGCAAGACUUUUCAGUUUGAGAUAGAAAGGUUGACUAUUAACUAUUACAAUAACAGACAAAAGGAAGAAAUUGAAUGGAAACAUAGAACGAUAGAAGAACCAGUUACAAUUAAGGAUUAAUAAUUGAAUACUAUUACAAAGGAGUAAGACCCCCUUUUGGCCC
rnacentral:lncRNA from 1 species